UUUGUUAAUGACUAGUUUAGUGGAAAUGUCUAACUACUAAUAAGUUGUCUGGGUUCGCUCUUAAUAUGAAAGAUCUCAAUAUCUUUCAGUUUAAUAAUUUGGAGGCAAAUUAACCUAUUAAGAAGUGAAUUAUAAACCUAAAAAAAAGUAAGUCAUAGAAUAAGAAUAAAAUUAAGUCCUUAUGUGGGAAAGGGAGUUUGUACAAGACUCCAAAGAACACUCUAAAUGUAAGAUUCAUUACUAAUUUAAAAAUGAGUAUUCUAUUCUAAAAUUUCUUUUUUUAUUUCCUUAUUGGAGGAAAGAAUUAUGAGUGAUCUAGUAGUAAUUUCUAAGAUUGUAAGAUAAUAGGAGUAUAGUUCUACACCACACCUACCACCAAAUUCCUGCGUUCCUACGCCCUCCUGAUAACCACUCCAGUUCUCCUAAUAUCUUAGAGAGAGUUUAGUUAACUUUUCUAUUUGAAAAUUCAUAUGUUCCAAUUCUCUAUAUUGCACAUAUGAAUGAUACCAUCCAGUAGUUAUCUUCCAUUUCCUUCCUUCACUAAGCAUAAUCAGCUCCAGUACUAUCUACUUUGUCCUAAAGGACACAAUGUUAUUUUUUCUAAUUGUCUUGGUCAGCUUUUUCAAUGAGAGUGUAAAGGGGAAAAGUAAAUGUAGAAAGAAAAAAAAAAAAAAAAAGCAAAUGUAGCACAUUUCUUUAACUUGCAGAAACAUGUUUUCCAAUGACAUCUAAAAUCUAUAACUCUUUCAUAUAUCAUAAAAUCUAGAUUCCAAUCCCAUGGUGACCCAGCAGUGGCUUUUACUUUGUGAUCAAAAAUUAUUACACAAACACAUGCAUGGAGGCAUUAUUCUUAAUAAUACUUCUGAAAAUGUCUUUACCCAAAUUUGGCCAAUUUUUGUAAUGGGACUAAUAACUGAGCUUCAGCUAAUAAGGGGAAAGAAGAAGGAAAAUCAUUUUAAUCCUGAAAAUGAGAUUCCUAAAGACAUACUGACUACAAAACUGGGAGACUUGAGUGGUGGUGCGCCGGUUGAAUUCACAUAUUAUCUUGUGCAAGGACCUGGGUUCAAGCACUUUCUCCCACCUGCGUUGGGGGGGGAAGCUUAACAAGCAGGAAGUAGGUCUGUUGAUGUCUCUCUCUCUCUCUCUCUCUCUCCCUCUCCCUCUCCCUCUCCCUCUACCUCUCCCUUUCUCUCUCCCUCUCUUUCUCUCUCACCUCUGCUUUCAAUUUAUAUCUGUCCUAUCUAAUAAAAAAAAAAAGGAUAAAAAUGAUUCCUAGGAGUGGUGGAUUCAUUGUACAGGCACUGAGCCUCAGUGAUAACCCUGGUAGCAAAUUAUAUAUACAAUUUAUAUAUUUAUAAAUAAAUUUUAUCUACAUACUAUAAGUUUAUAUUAAUAUAUACAAAAUGCAAUGGAAAAUUACUGUUAUUAUUUUUUGUAAAGUCUGAGUGACUUUGGUGAUACAUUCAAAGUUGAAUCAUUUAAAGAUUUACCAGUGGUUGAAGUUGAAGUCAGAGAGAUUUUACAAAACUACCCAGCCUUCUUUGUUACAUAAUAUACUUACGCUUCAAAAAAGUCAAGCACAUUUUUUCUUGAUCUUUCUUAAAAUAGUCUUUUAGACACCAGAAUUAAAAUACAGCUGAUUGGAUUAACAUAAUUAGAAUAAUUGAAAACUGAAAUGGACAAAGUGUUAGCAUUGCUAAGGUAAUUUUGCUAAAUAAAGGAACAUUUAUCCCUUCCUUUGAUAAA